CAAACCAUUAUUAAUUUAGUCAAAUCCAUAAUAUCUCCCUUAAUAAAUAAACUUGGCUUCCAAAUUUUAAUCACUUAUUCUCUAAACUCACACACCCAUAUUAUUCCUAUCAACUUGACUUCCAGCCAUUUUCUCUGAAGUAUCAAGAACUAUCAACCAAUUACUCCGCAUUUCUAUUUCCAACUUCGAUCCUUUCCUCAUACCUAAUCUUGCAUAUAUUUAUCAGCCUAUAAUACGUUAAUAGUUUCAGGCUUGCAAUCAAUUCUUGGUCCAUCAUAAAUUUUCCGGCACAUGGUGUAGUCGGAUUAUAUGUGUUCCUCAGAAUUGGGUUAUGCCUACAACCUGUUCGACGAAAUGCCUGGCCGGGAUGUAUUGUUAUGUGCUCAAUGCAAGUCAACUCUAAAAAAAUUGAAAGUCAAAGAAAGGGACAAUGUGACAGAAUUUUCAAUUACUCCCUCUAUCCCUUAACACUAGCACUGUUUUGACUUUUUGCACUAUUCACAUAAUUCACUUUGACUCUAUUUUAUUUCUAGUAUAUGAAAAUAAAUGUUAGUAUAUAAUAUAUUGUUGGCUUCAUCUUAAUAUAUAUUUUCAAAAUAUUAAUAUUUUUAGAAGUUUUUAUAAUAUGUAGUUAAAGUUAUUGGUGGUCAAAGUUGUGUAUUGAUAAGCGUGUCCAGUCAAAACGGUGCGAGUAUUAAGGGACAGAGGGAGUAUCAUUAUAUAAGUCAAAUAACAACAAAUUAGCAACUCAGAUUGGCUUUCAUUCACACGUUUGCUUCCAUCUUCUCAAAUACUCAAACAGAAUCAUGGCUGAAGGUUUUAUCACUGAAGCAGCUAUGGCAAUACUAACAACAGUGUUGUCCCGGACGGCAGAAGAGGUCAAACUUCCCUGGAGCUUUAAAAAUGAUCAGAAAGAGCUGGAGAAAAAGUUGAAAAGAAUUCAUAUGCUCUUAUGUGGUUCUGCUGGUAUAAGAUUUAACAAUCCUUUAGUUGAUGAUUGGCUAAGCAAAGUGAAAAAUGUGGCCUAUGAAGCUGAUGAUUUUAUUGAUGAGGUUGCAUAUGAAGCUCUGAAGCAAAAACUGAAGUUUCGAAAUCAGUCCCAGUUUAAGAAAAAGCUCCAGUUUUUCUUCACUGUUGGUAGUAAUCCGAUUGUGUUUAGCUUUCAAAUGGGUCAUAGGGUAAGGAAGCUGAUGGGUUCAAUAGAAGAUGUUUUUAAAGAUGCUCAAGUGCUUGGAAUCAAACCUGUUGACAUAGCAGCAGGUUCCAGCAGAAGUGUGCCUGUAUUGGAAGAUGUGCAGCUUCAGGUACAGAGGGAAUUAGUUGCUAGUCGAGGACUUAUUGGGCGCGAUCAAGACGAAGCUAAUAUCAUUAAGUUAUUGUGUCACCCUGGGAAUUCUGACAGAGAUCUAAGCGUUGUUGGCAUCGUGGGAAUGGCAGGCCUUGGAAAGACAGCUUUAUCUAAGCGAGUGUGUGAGAGAAAUGAAGUUACAAAGCAUUUUGAGAAGAGAAUCUGGGUAUGUGUAUCCCAUGAUUUUGAAGUGAAGGGGAUUUUAGAAAAGAUGGUUGAACUUGUUGAUGAACAAUCAUGUAACAGAUCAAGUUACCAAGCAACAAUCACAGAGCUUCAAAAGAACUUGAGAGGGAAAAGAUAUUUACUGGUGUUGGAUGAUGUUUGGGAUACAAUAUCAAGUGUAUGGGAGUCCUUCUGUAGCAUAUUGCAGGAUAUUGGUGGGUCUAAAGGGACAAUGGUUUUGGCUACCUCGCGUAGUUCUCAGGUUUUAGCAACCAUGGAAAUACAUAACGAGAUCCAAACUCUGACAACCUGGCACGGACCUCAUAUUCAUCAACUGAAGGGCCUAACUUACACAGACAGUUGGUCCUUGUUCCAGCGAAGAGUACACCGUAUCAUUGACGUGACUAGAGCAGAAAGGAUGGUCACGAAGUGUGGGGGCGUCCCUUUGGCAAUAAACGUGCUUGGUGAUCUGUUAAGGCAUAGGUGUUCAGAAGAGUGGAAACAGAUUGAAGAAAGUGAGUUGUGGAAGUUGGAAGAUAAGAAUGGAAUCUUGCCUUCUUUGAGGUUGAGCUUCAAUUAUUUACCAUCUGCAGCUGUAAAAAGCUGUUUUGCAUAUUGUGCUGUUUUCCCAGAGGAUGCUGUUAUCAGAAGGGAAAACUUGAUUCAACUUUGGAUGGCCCAUGGCUUCUUGCAGCCAUAUGAUAAAAUGGAGCGCAUUGGCAAUGAAUACUUCAACGUUUUGUUGAAUAACUCCUUUUUCCAGGAUAUGGAAUUCGAUAAGCAUGGUGGCGUAGAUAGGUGUAAGAUGCAUGAUGUUGUUCGUUCUCUUGCAAAGGUUGUUUCUAGACAAGAGUUCUUGACAGUUUCAGAAAAUGUUAACAUGACCAAGAUUUCAUCUGAUGUUCGACAUCUUUCUUUGCUGACUGAAAAGGGUCUUACACAAAAACUGAAGAAGAAGGUACGCACAGUUUUAUCUGAAUCUCUGCACAUUGGAAAUCCCAACACUCUACUAAUGCAUGCAAAGUGCCUGCGAGUGUUAAGCCUAGUGAAUGCUGGUCUAUUUGUAUUACCUGAUUCAAUUGGGAGUCUCAAGCAUUUAAGGUACCUAGAUAUCUCUGAAAAUGACAUUAUGAAGUUACCUUCUGCAAUCGGUGAGCUCUAUAAUUUACAGACCUUGAAACAUUUAUGUUUCAGAAUUCCAUACUUUUCUACAUUCCCUACACUUCCCAAAGAGCUGAGAAAACUUGUCAAUUUAAGAUAUAUUUGCACCAAUAAGUAUUCUUGUAUGGGGUUUUCCUUAUGUAUACAAUUGGAAAGAAUUAACCAGUAUCGAAAGUGGGGUGGGAGAAUCAGCGAUAUAAGCCUAUUAAAUAACAUCAGAGGUAGCUUAGCAAUUCGGUAUCUUGAACAUAUUUCAAGUAAGGAAGAAGCAAGAAGGGCAAGCUUGAAAACCAAACCCAAUAUUCACCACUUGGACCUAACAUGGUCAUACAAUGCUACUACUAGCCUCUCAAACUCUGAAGAGGUGCUUGAAGAGCUUCUUCCUCACAAGGAUCUAAAGAUCCUUAACAUCUGGUAUUACAAUGGAAAGGUAUUACCAUCAUGGUUGAUGAUGAUGAGACCCUCAAGAGUGUCACAACUUUGCAAUUUAGUAGAAAUGAAGUUUUAUUACUGCCGUAAUCUCAAGCAGUUGCCUGACUCCUUUGUUUUCCCCUUGCUCAAGGUUUUGGUUGUAUGGGGUUGUGAUAAUCUAACAUCUUUUCCUGAUUUGGGUACCAUGAACUCUCUUGAAACAUUGCAGAUAGGUAGAUGUCCUAAUCUUGAAGAUUUACCAAACUUGGAGCCAUUGACUAAUCUGCGCAAGUUGGAAAUACAUAACUGUGCAAGGGUAAGUUGUCUUCCCCUUGGAUUAGCUAACCUUUGUAAUCUCACAGAACUAAAGCUUGGUCCAUUUUGUCGAGAGCUUGAUUUUUUUCCAUUCCCGAACAUCAGUGAUUCUUGUCUGGUAACCAAAUCCCUUCAGAAACUAUGCUUGAUAGGUUGGUCUAAACUAGGAAAUCUACCUACACAAGUUGAACAAUUUACUCAGCUACAAACACUUGGUAUUGGACAUUUUGAUACCUUGAAAGUUCUGCCAAGUUGGCUGGGGAGCCUCACAUGUUUAGAAAUAGUAGAUCUUCAGCACAUGGAAAGCCUUACAUGCUUGCCGCCCAGAAAUGAUAUGCUGCGAGCCACCAGAUUUCUUGGAUUCCGCAUCACACCAUUUCAGUGUCCUAAGUUGAGCAUAUCUGUGGAUAUUUUUGAUGUUCUUUUGACAAAAGGAUAAAUGUUCAGCUUUAGCAAGAAACAGCGGACACCCAAACCGGCACACCACCUUACAGAUAACAAGGCUGGCAAGAUACGUAAUGAAAAACCAUCAAGUUAGGUCUCUACUGAUGUUAGAGGAACAUGGGCCACUCCAAGUAAUUCUGCAAAACUGACAAGAUUGGUGGCUUCAGAGUUGGUAUAGAUUGGCUCCCAGGAAUUAAGAAGGAAAUGGCAAUUAUAAUUUUGUAUGUUUUUCAGCAGAAACAGCUUGCUACCUUGGCCUACCAAACUUGUCUUUUAAGCACAUAUUUGGAGGAAAUAUAGAAUUGGAUAAUCACUACUCACUAUCGCUGAAGAAAUGAGCAUAUUCUGAGACCUGUUUAUAUAUAUAAACAAAUUUUACCAAAGUCAGGAAUGCUGUUAGCCUGUUAGUGGAUUGGAUCACUGCUCACUAGCACAGCACUGAAUCCGAAAAUUUACAAUAUACUUGAGAAAUCAAUCAUGCUCGAGAAGCAGCUCCUUUUCUUCAUCUCUUUCCAGUUUGCCUUCUUUCAGAGUCAAAUUGUCAAUGACCUAACCAAUUGAGGUUGGCAUGAGUGGUUAAGGGUCUCUUUCUCCUUAACCAAGGUCUCGGGUUCGAGCCUUGGGAAUGAAAAAAAUCUCAACUGGGAGGGAUGCUACCCAUCGAGGUACCCAUACAAACUCCCGCGGGAGAUUAGUCCACUCGCCUAAUGCGGUGGGAACUCCUCGUAGUAGAACCAAAAAAAAAAAAGUGUCAAUGACCUAAGUGUUAAAGUGCGGGACUAAACCACAAGGGACAACAAUAUGAAGAGUACAUAUGAGUGUUAUUUCCCACAUCUAACGACCGGAUAGUCUUAUCACUCAUUCGGAAAACACCAAUGUCAUGUCCUCCAAGUCCAGCUUUUGUUUCGGCAUAAUAAUAUCUUUGAACUUUGAUCAUCGGUAAAGUAUAUGCAGUUGCGCUCGCAACCCGCAUCAGUUGCACAAACAGACAUGGAUGCAUUGUUACCCACGAAAAUAGCAACAUCUACCAAAUCUACGGUGGUGGGAGUAAUUGAAGAAGAGUAGCUAAGUGACACUGAAAGUCGGUGGAGGUGGUGGAAUUCGAGGUCGUCGCCGAUGGAGAUGGGGUACUUCAGUGUGAUAUGGACUUCGUAAAAGGAAGGAUCAUAAUUUACGAUAAAAACACGUGUUUCUAUCACAAAGCACAAAUGUGAUGGUGUGUAGGUGUGUGCAUCGUGUUCUAGGUGUCCCGUGUACUGUGUUCUAGGUUUCCCGUGCUCUAGGUGCACCGGGGAUAAAACUACCUAUUUAAUUAGGAUUGUUUCAGUAAUUGCCUUGAACAAAAAUAUACAAAAUGUGUUCAUUAAUUUCCUUGAAUAAAAUAAUAAUUUCCUUGAACAAAAGAACAUUAAAGACUCUGU